CAUGCUCUCUGACAUCUCUGUGUAAUCAGAUGCUCUUGUUUCCUUCUUGUCAAAGAGCCAGAAAGGUGGCUGGUUUAAGGUGUCUGGCUACCAAAAGGUGGAGGAACCAGCUUUCUUGAAGCUAAGAGCAUGGGACAUUGUCCUGUGUGUCUGGAGAAACCAGAGUUCUCUCUCUCUCAGGAAUGAUGGCUCCUGGGGUUUGCAUGCGAAUGUGUUUAGGGGAGAAGCAUCUCUAAUUUAGUAUGAGCAGUCAGAAGACAGAGGCAUCAUAUUUUUGCUGGUGAGGUAAUUUUAAGAAUGAAAUGGACACACAACUCCGAUGAAACAGGAGACUGGAAACUUCUUAUGUCUAAGUUGGACUCAAGUAGGAGCUGCAAAGUAAGCUGUGCUGGUCCACUCUGAACUGCACAGCAAUCACAUUGCCAACAUGAAUGAGAAUGGUUGCUCACAGAUGAAUGCAGAAGGGAGGGGAGGCAUGAAGGGCAGCCAUUCCAAGUCACUUGGCAAGCCUUUGGCAACAAAAGUGCUUUAAGCCACGAAACACUCAACUUUGUACAUCUUCACUGAUUCCUGGUGUUGAUUUUUCAGUUGUUUGUCUGUAGUUCAGGUUAUGGGAGCUGCCCUUCCUCACGUUUGCC